UUUAAUCGAGAGUUUGAUCCUGGCUCAGGACGAACGCUGGCGGCGUGCCUAACACAUGCAAGUCGAACGAGAARCCCAUUUGUGAUCCCUUCGGGGUGAACUGUUGGGUGGAAAGUGGCGGACGGGCGAGUAACGCGUGAGUAACCUGCCCAUAAGAGGGGGAUAAUCCUUGGAAACGAGGACUAAUACCGCAUAUUGAAAUUUUAUGGCAUCAUAGAAUUUUGAAAGAUUUAUCGCUUAUGGAUGGACUCGCGUCAGAUUAGCURGUUGGUGAGGUAACGGCUCACCAAGGCGACGAUCUGUAGCCGAACUGAGAGGUUGAUCGGCCGCAUUGGGACUGAGACACGGCCCAGACUCCUACGGGAGGCAGCAGUGGGGAAUAUUGCGCAAUGGGGGMAACCCUGACGCAGCAACGCCGCGUGCAGGAAGAAGGUCUUCGGAUUGUAAACUGUUGUCGCAGGGGAAGAAGACAGUGACGGUACCCUGUGAGAAAGUCACGGCUAACUACGUGCCAGCAGCCGCGGUAAUACGUAGGUGACAAGCGUUGUCCGGAUUUACUGGGUGUAAAGGGCGCGUAGGCGGGAUAGCAAGUCAGUCGUGAAAUGCCGAGGCUUAACCUCGGAGCUGCGAUUGAAACUGUUAUUCUUGAGUAUCGGAGAGGAAAGCGGAAUUCCUAGUGUAGCGGUGAAAUGCGUAGAUAUUAGGAGGAACACCAGUGGCGAAGGCGGCUUUCUGGACGACAACUGACGCUGAGGCGCGAAAGUGUGGGGAGCAAACAGGAUUAGAUACCCUGGUAGUCCACACCGUAAACGAUGGAUACUAGGUGUAGGAGGUAUCGACCCCUUCUGUGCCGCAGUUAACACAAUAAGUAUCCCACCUGGGGAGUACGACCGCAAGGUUGAAACUCAAAGGAAUUGACGGGGGCCCGCACAAGCAGUGGAGUAUGUGGUUUAAUUCGAAGCAACGCGAAGAACCUUACCUGGGCUUGACAUCCCGAUGACCGGUGUAGAGAUACACCUUCCCUUCGGGGCAUCGGUGACAGGUGGUGCAUGGUUGUCGUCAGCUCGUGUCGUGAGAUGUUGGGUUAAGUCCCGCAACGAGCGCAACCCCUAUUGUCAGUUGCCAUCAUUCAGUUGGGCACUCUGGCGAGACUGCCGGUGACAAAUCGGAGGAAGGUGGGGACGACGUCAAAUCAUCAUGCCCCUUAUGCCCAGGGCUACACACGUACUACAAUGGCCGGCAACAAAGUGCAGCAAUACCGUGAGGUGGAGCGAAUCACAAAACCCGGUCUCAGUUCAGAUUGCAGGCUGCAACUCGCCUGCAUGAAGUUGGAAUUGCUAGUAAUCGCGAAUCAGAAUGUCGCGGUGAAUACGUUCCCGGGCCUUGUACACACCGCCCGUCACACCAUGAGAGUCGAUAACACCCGAAGCCUGUGAGCUAACCGUAAGGAGGCAGCAGUCGAAGGUGGGGUUGAUGAUUGGGGUGAAGUCGUAACAAGGUAGCCGUAUCGGAAGGUGCGGCUGGAUCACCUCCUUUCUAAGGA
rnacentral:rRNA from 1 species